rnacentral:misc_RNA from 1 species
GAUGAAGAACGCAGUGAAAUGCGAUAAGUAAUGUGAAUUGCAGAAUUCAGUGAAUCAUCGAAUCUUUGAACGCACAUUGCGCCCCUUGGUAUUCCGGGGGGCAUGCCUGUUCGAGCGUCAUUUCAACCCUCAAGCUCAGCUUGGUAUUGAGUCCAUGUCAGUAAUGGCAGGCUCUAAAAUCAGUGGCGGCGCCGCUGGGUCCUGAACGUAGUAAUAUCUCUCGUUACAGGUUCUCGGUGUGCUUCUGCCAAAACCCAAAUUUUCUAUGGUUGACCUCGGAUCAGGUAGGGAUACCCGCUGAACUUAAGCAUAUCAAUAAGCGGAGGA